rnacentral:rRNA from 1 species
AUUGAACGCUGGCGGCAGGCCUAACACAUGCAAGUCGAACGAGUGGCGGACGGGUGAGUAAUGUCUGGGAAACUGCCUGAUGGAGGGGGCUAACUACUGGAAACGGUAGCUAAUACCGCAUACCAUCAGAUGUGCCCAGAUGGGAUUAGCUAGUUGGUGGGGUAACGGCUCCCAAGGGCGACGAUCCCUAGCUGGUCUGAGAGGAUGACCGGCCACACGGGAACUGAGACACGGUCCAGACUCCUACGGGAGGCAGCGGUGGGGAAUCUUGCACAAUGGGCGCAAGCCUGAGGCAGCCAUGCGGCGUGGAUGAAGAGGGCCUUCGGGUUGGAAAGUACUUUCAGCGGGGAGGCGUUACCCGCAGAAGAAGCACCGGCUAACUCCGUGCCAGCAGCCGCGGUAAUUC